rnacentral:rRNA from 1 species
AGUGAACGCUGGCGGUAGGCCUAACACAUGCAAGUCGAACGGCAGCACAGUAAGAGCUUGCUCUUACGGGUGGCGAGUGGCGGACGGGUGAGGAAUACAUCGGAAUCUACUUUUUCGUGGGGGAUAACGUAGGGAAACUUACGCUAAUACCGCAUACGCCCUACGGGUGAAAGCAGGGGAUCUUCGGACCUUGCGCGAUUGAAUGAGCCGAUGUCGGAUUAGCUAGUUGGCGGGGUAAAGGCCCACCAAGGCGACGAUCCGUAGCUGGUGUGAGAGGAUGGUCAGCCACACUGGAACUUAGACACGGUCCAUACUCCUACGGGAGGCAGCAGUGGGGAAUAUUGGACAAUGGGCGCAAGCCUGAUCCAGCCAUACCGCGUGGGUGAAGAAGGCCUUCGGGUUGUAAAGCCCUUUUGUUGGGAAAGAAAAGCAGCAGGUUAAUACCCCGCUGUUCUGGCGGUACCCAAAGAAUAAGCACCGGCUAACUUCGUG